AGAGGCAGCAAUCCCAGGGGAAGAGAUCACAUCUGUUGUGACAGAGGUGGUCUUUGGAAACCCUGGGCAAUAAGGUAGGAGACUAGACUAGAUCCUAGAGGUCAUACUGAGCAGUGUGCCCUCAAUUCAAGGGCACUGGGGGCUGCAGAGGAUCAGAACAGGAAGAAAUAUCUCCUGCCUUUGCUGUAAGACUUGUUUGGUGAUAGUCUAAAAUAUGGUCUAAGUUGAGGAAGAUUCUUUUUUUAUAGUCUUGUUUUAUAUUCAUUCAUUAUCUCGUUUACAUUUUCAUUCUUAAGGAUGGAAUCUGAAUGUUAACAUUUAGUCCAGAGUAUAAAAAAACUGGAGCCUGUGCCCCUUUACAAAGUCCAUUGACAGGCUUCAGGAGGAAGCCUUGAAGAAUCUUCUAAAAUCUUAAUGAAUUUAGAUUUGAAUAAUGAAUAAUGAAUCUUCUAAAAUCAUAUGUAAUAUGUUAUAUGUUUGUGUAUAGAUUCCUCUUUUUUUUCCAGACUGAGACGUUUCAUAUCUACCAGCUUCUCAAAAGGAUCUGUGAUCCCCAAAAGGACCACUUAAUGGAAGUAGAAGAGCAAUAUUGAAUUUGUCCAACAUAAAAAUAGCACAGAGGCCUGAAGGUGCAUGAGUUAUUCACUGAAACAGACUGUAUUGCUAGUCCUACUGAAAAAAAAAAUUUUUUUUCAUCAAAAGGGUCAGAAAGCAAUGGAGAGAUCUAAAUAUAGUAAUUCCUUCAUUUGACAGACAUUAAAACCAGGGACCCUACUGGAUAGUAUGUUCCUCAGUACACCGAGAUAGUCCUGGAGCUAAGGAAACCCCUUACAGAAAUAUUUAAGCCAUAUCUUUUCUUGUAUUGGCAUCAUCAAUACAUCAUAUCGGUAAAACUUUGUAAUUGGUUCAUUCCUUGUUAAAAUGGCCAUCAGUCCACUAGCCUUAUCUCUCUCUGCUCAUAGCUAGAUGAUUGUUGAAUGACUAUUUAAAAGCUUUUUUUCCUUUAGACAUAAGCAUGCCUAUCCAGCCUGUUUCCAGGUGAUACAAAUCUCUGUUCUGUAAUUGGCAUAUCCAGUUUUGGGACAUGUAAAGUCUUACAUUUUGUAUUCAAAAACUGAAAACAUAAUUUCUUCAGGGCUACCUUCAAUAGAAAGUGCUAAUUAUUGUCAAGCAGAGCCUGUUGCCUUGUCUAAGAGAUUUAACAAGAAACCAACCUAAUUUUACCAAGAAACAUCUAGGGCACCAGGGCCUACUCAGUAUUAUCAUAAACAUCUACU
rnacentral:lncRNA from 1 species